CACCUCAGAAAAUAAUGGAGGUGGGGGGUUGGGGGCAGUCCAUGCGUCCCUCAGCUCUCCAACUUGCCUGAAAAAAAGAAAAUGAGCAUACAGCCAGAGCACACCAUGUUUUUGCUCUCCUCAUGGCAAUAGCUGCAUCCUGCUCCAAUUUAUCCUAAACAGAUCCAGAGCCCAGAAAGGGGACAAAAAUGUGAAUUAGUUUUUAUUCUUCCUUUCAGCACAGAAGAACUGAUAAAGACUUAGAUUGUGCUGUCAAAUGCUCUGGACCUUUACCAAAUCCUCUUCUGCCUUCUCCCACUGAGACCUGCCUAGGUGUCCCUAGGCUGGUGCCUUGAGAAGCCAGAUGAAAAAAGCAUGUUCUUCAUUCUUCUUUGAUCAUAGUUGCAGGAUUCUUCCUCCAACUAUUGAUUUCCUCCUUCUUUUCCAGGCUCAGGGAAGAGGACAAGCAGAAACUCCGGCAGCCGUCGUAUGUUAAGUAACUGGAAGAGUGGGCCAUGCCCUUGGAGAAGAUCAGGACACACAGGAGCCUGACCCACACUUCAGAGGAAAAGCAUUUGCAGCAGAGCAUCCCACCAGCAGAGCUGCACUGCUGGAGCCCAAACUGGAGCUCAGCUGUGUUAUUUACUCUACGAGGUCCCAGCUGUCAACCUGGCCUGGCAUCACGACAGCCUACGGCACAAACAGCCCCAGCCAGCUGCUUGGCUCAGCGCACAAUUCUCUCUUUUUAAAUGAGAUUAGCGUUGGUGAAAUGUGCUAGCUCAACGGGCAUGCUGAUCUAAGUCCUCUGUUUAUUCGGGCUACAGCAGAUAUAACGAUCGCUUAGAAAAAAAAGAUGCAAUUUUAAAAGAUGCCAUGAAUUUGCCAGAGCUCCUGCAGUUGCUCCCUCAUCACAGGAUGAAGAGAGGUUUCUUACAGAUCCAUGGAGAACUGAGGACUGGAAAUGAUGAAUCUUGAAACUGUGUUAUGAAUAACAACACCAGAUACUCUCUUGUGUGUCCCUGGAAUACUUGGACAUUUUCUUAAGCCUCCUGGAAAACCAAUGACCGUGGAGAAUAAAAUACUUCAUCAUCAACUUCUUCAGGUUUUCUGGGUAAACAAUGUA